AUUGAACGCUGGCGGCAUGCCUUACACAUGCAAGUCGAACGGCAGCACGGGUGCUUGCACCUGGUGGCGAGUGGCGAACGGGUGAGUAAUACAUCGGAACGUACCUUAUCGUGGGGGAUAACGGAGCGAAAGCUGUGCUAAUACCGCAUACGCCCUGAGGGGGAAAGCGGGGGAUCGCAAGAACUCGCGCGACUAGAGCGGCCGAUGCCUGAUUAGCUUAUUGGUGGGGUAAAAGCCCACCAAGGCGACGAUCAGUAGCUGGUCUGAGAGGACGAUCAGCCACACUGGGACUGAGACACGGCCCAGACUCCUACGGGAGGCAGCAGUGGGGAAUUUUGGACAAUGGGGGCAACCCUGAUCCAGCAAUGCCGCGUGAGUGAAGAAGGCCUUCGGGUUGUAAAGCUCUUUUGUCAGGGAAGAAACACCGGCUCUAACACAGUCCGGGAAUGACGGUACCUGAAGAAUAAGCAUCGGCUAACUACGUGCCAGCCGCCGCAGUAA
rnacentral:rRNA from 1 species